rnacentral:snoRNA from 1 species
GGAUCGAUGAUGGACCCCUCACAUGCAGUUCUUGAAAUCUGAACAAAAUGAGUGAGAACUCACUUUACGUCUCCUCAUUCGAAAUGAUGAGGUGC